AAUAAUGGGAAAAAAAGAUUUACUUAAAAAUUUCCCCACCAUUUACUUUUUCCCAGCUUUGGCAGAAACAAUACUACCAUCAUGAAAUUCAAUUAUGCAAACUUCUUUUCCCUAUCAGAACAAACACAGGAUUUUUAAAAAGAUCUUUAUUCCAGUGAGAUGCAGGGUCAGACAUCUAACGUAUAGAACUGCAAGAAAUUAUUUUAUGUGACUAUGCUUGUGGUAACAUGUUACAGUCAACAGUAAACGGAUCCAAGGUCCUACAGAAACCCCUCAGUCACAGAGCUAAACACACAGGCCAGGCUCAGGAGACAGAGAAGCUGAUGGAAGACUGGGGGAGGCAGAGCAGUUACAGACCCAGCUACUGCUUCAUGUCAAGAACUUAACUGAGAAGAACAGUAAAAUGCCUGGACAUGCUAGGGUUAUCAUCUAUUUGGGGAAAUCCUAAGCCUUUGAAACACACGGCAAGGAAAAACUGACCUUACCUGAAAAAUACCUUACCCUGAAAAAUAAUGUAGCUGUGUUAAAAGAACCACAGGCAUGGAGAACUGUGAUGAGGUUUGCAGCUGGCAGGGGAGUAUGACAGUGCGGCCACAUGCGUCUCCAUCUUUCCUUUGGCAACCAAAUCGAGACUCACAUGAAACAACUCUGGGAGUUAGCUGAUGGCCCAAAAUGCAGAUCUGGCAUUCUUUUCCUCCCUACCCCCUUCUCAGCCGGUGAUUUGACAACAAAAACUGAAGCGGGUGUAUGUCCCAUUUCUAAGAACAUAUAUUUUCAAAAAAUUAUUAUUUAAUGAUGUGGCUAUUUUGAACUAUGAUUAAUAUAAGUACAUUUAAGAUAUAACAUUGGCAAGUUAGAAAACCACCAAGUAAGGCCAGAUGUGUAAACUGACUUGAUGUUUAAAUUUAAAACACCAGCAUCAGACUGAAAGGUCUGUUAUUCUAUGAGUCAAAUCACAGAGAAUUCAUACACAAAUUAUGCUUACCUGUUAUUCCCGGAACCUAGAAAGAAUUGCUUUUUAAAGUUAUCAUUAACUAAUCUAUACAUCAUCAAGAUAAGUGGAUUUUGUUAAAAAUAUUGAAUUAUAGAAUGAACUUUAGAUUUUAUGGUAGUCUUGACAACACUUGAGAAUCCAGUUAUGUUCUAGGAACUGUACUACAAAUUGUGUUAUGCUUUAAAUUAUUGUGAGAUAUGUAAAAUUGUUGCUAAAUUACUGUUAUAUUCUUUCCUGAUUUAGCUUUGUUCACUAAUAACUAGAUAUCCUACCCCCAUCAAUACUGUAGGAACUCUGUAGAACUCUGCCAUUUCAGUUUUAUUGGACAUUACCACGACUACUUCCAGAUCAUGGAGAAAGGAAUGAGCGAAGUUCAUUAAGGGGAACUAGCACAUAAUAUCAAGUAGAUAUUCAAAAUGCACUUCAGAGAAGAAACACGUUCCCACUACCCAGGCACCUACUAGCAUUCACUUAAUGAGUAUAAAAACCUGUGUAUGGUCCUUUCACAUUUGUUAGAGUUAAUAAUACUCUAUUAAUAAUAAUUAAUAAUAAUACUCUAGCUUUUCAACCAUUUACUAUCACCAUUUCACAGACAAGAAAACACAGUCCCAGGGAUCCCGAGCAGACCUGGGGCUCAAUACCCACCCCUUUCCAGACACCAACUCAUCUGGUAACAAGAACAAGUGCAAUUACAGAUCCUACCUGGGGAAAGGUGUAGAGUAGCCCACCCCAUGAAAUAAACAUAAAAUAAAAACAUAAAAAUAAAAAGAACCCAUGGCUUAUCAUUUAUCAGGUAUCUUAUUAUCUUUGGAAUAUCAUAGAAUAAAACCCUAUCAGAAUGCUGCCAUUGGCCUAUACAAUAAAAUUUUGUCCUGCUGCCUGGCAAAAGCUCUUCAAUUCUAACCAUUUAAGAGAAAACUAUGUCUUUUACAAGUUAGUGUUCUUUUUUACAGCGUAUUUUAAACAAAUUAUAUUAUGUAAAUUUUAUCUAGAAGUGUAUUAUUCUUUUUAAGCAAUUUUAUAAAAAGGCUUCUUGAGUUGGUUUUGGGUUUUUGUUUUGUUUGUUUAUUUGUUUUUAAAUCCUUAGGAGAGCCUGGAGUAGAUAAGCAAAAGUAAUGGUGUGCUAUCCACAAGAAUGGUGUCCUAGCUUCUAAUCCCCUCCUAAGAUAAAAUUUUCCUCUAAUGAGUCCUUCUAAAUGUAUGUUCCAGUUUCUUCAGCUGCAAAGCAUGACUAUUAUCAGAUAUUUGCUAUGAUCUUCUCUUCCUUUCACUGAUGCACAUUUGAACCAAUUUUACCCCCAGUCUAUGGCCCUUCACCACCGCCCCCUACCCCCCCAUCCUCCAGCCCUGCUAAGCUUAGCCUCUCUCCCAGAGCAGUGACA